CCUGGUGGCUCAGCGGUAAAGAAUCUGCCUGCAAUGCAGGAGACCCAGGUUCAAUCCCUGGGUCAGGA
rnacentral:tRNA from 1 species